GACGAACCGAGCGAACGUUGUUCGGAAUCACUGGGCUUAAAGGGCGCGUAGGCGGGCAUUCAAGUCCGUGGUGAAAUCCGGCAGCUCAACUGUCGAACUGCCGCGGAUACUGGGUGUCUCGAGGGAGGUAGGGGCGUGCGGAACUAUUGGUGGAGCGGUGAAAUGCGUUGAUAUCAAUAGGAACUCCGGUGGCGAAGGCGGCACGCUGGACCUUUUCUGACGCUGAGGCGCGAAAGCCAGGGGAGCAAACGGG
rnacentral:rRNA from 1 species